rnacentral:rRNA from 1 species
GACAGAGGUGCCGAGCGUUAGGCGGAAUCACUGGGCUUAAAGCGUGUGUAGGCGGACUUCUAAGUACCUUGUGAAAUCCCACAGCUCAACUGUGGAACUGCUCGGUAUACUGGUUGUCUUGAGCCGGCUAGGGGCGAGCGGAACAGACGGUGGAGCGGUGAAAUGCGUAGAUAUCGUCUGGAACGCCGAAGGUGAAAACAGCUCGCUGGGGCCGCGCUGACGCUGAGACACGAAAGCCAGGGGAGCGAACGGG